rnacentral:rRNA from 1 species
GACGAACGCUGGCGGCGUGCUUAACACAUGCGAGUCGAACGGAAAGGCCCUGCUUUUGUGGGGUGCUCGAGUGGCGAACGGGUGAGUAACACGUGAGUAACCUGCCCUUGACUUUGGGAUAACUUCAGGAAACUGGGGCUAAUACCGGAUAGGAGCUCCUGCUGCAUGGUGGGGGUUGGAAAGUUUCGGCGGUUGGGGAUGGACUCGCGGCUUAUCAGCUUGUUGGUGGGGUAGUGGCUUACCAAGGCUUUGACGGGUAGCCGGCCUGAGAGGGUGACCGGCGACAUUGGGACUGAGAUACGGCCCAGACUCCUACGGGAGGCAGCAGUGGGGAAUAUUGCAAAAUGGGCGGAAGCCUGAUGCAGCAACGCCGCGUGCAGGAUGACGGCCUUCGGGUUGUAAACCGCUUUCGCCUGUGACGAAGCGUGAGUGACGGUAAUGGGUAAAGAAGCACCGGCUAACUACGUG